UCAUAGCACAGAAGGAUUGGCCCCAGGGAUGGCCAGU
rnacentral:misc_RNA from 1 species